rfam:Serratia symbiotica str. Tucson genomic scaffold scaffold00207, whole genome shotgun sequence.
AACCCCCCGAUUCUGUCAUCAACUGUGGCGGUAGAUUCAGAUAUCGAGGGGUCGUAAGCAGGCUGCUGGCCUGUGAAGGAUUAUAACGCAUGCCUAUCAGAAGACAACCCCUGUCCGCCAUAAGA